CCUGGCUCAGAUUGAACGCUGGCGGCAGGCCUAACACAUGCAAGUCGAGCGGAUGACGGGAGCUUGCUCCUUGAUUCAGCGGCGGACGGGUGAGUAAUGCCUAGGAAUCUGCCUGGUAGUGGGGGACAACGUUUCGAAAGGAACGCUAAUACCGCAUACGUCCUACGGGAGAAAGCAGGGGACCUUCGGGCCUUGCGCUAUCAGAUGAGCCUAGGUCGGAUUAGCUAGUAGGUGAGGUAAUGGCUCACCUAGGCGACGAUCCGUAACUGGUCUGAGAGGAUGAUCAGUCACACUGGAACUGAGACACGGUCCAGACUCCUACGGGAGGCAGCAGUGGGGAAUAUUGGACAAUGGGCGAAAGCCUGAUCCAGCCAUGCCGCGUGUGUGAAGAAGGUCUUCGGAUUGUAAAGCACUUUAAGUUGGGAGGAAGGGCAGUAAGUUAAUACCUUGCUG
rnacentral:rRNA from 1 species